AUUGAACGCUGGCGGAAUGCUUUACACAUGCAAGUCGAACGGCAGCGCGGGGGCAACCCUGGUGGCGAGUGGCGAACGGGUGAGUAAUACAUCAGAACGUGCCCAGUCGUGGGGGAUAACGUAGCGAAAGUUACGCUAAUACCGCAUACGAUCUACGGAUGAAAGCGGGGGACCGUAAGGCCUCGCGCGAUUGGAGCGGCCGAUGUCAGGUUAGGUAGUUGGUGAGGUAAAGGCGCACCAAGCCGACGAUCUGUAGCUGGUCUGAGAGGACGACCAGCCACACUGGGACUGAGACACGGCCCAGACUCCUACGGGAGGCAGCAGUGGGGAAGUUUGGACAAUGGGCGCAAGCCUGAUGCAGCCAUUCCGCGUGCAGGACGAAGGCCUUCGGGUUGUAAACUGCUUUUGUACGGAACGAAAAGGCUCUGGUUAAUACCUGGGGCUCAUGACGGUACCGUAAGAAUAAGCACCGGCUAACUACGUGCCAGCCGCCGCCGUAA
rnacentral:rRNA from 1 species